UGCACACGCCCUGACCAGGGUCCGGGAUGGGGAGGAGCCUGUAACCAAGAUGUGUAAUUGCUCUGAUAGACUGCAGUGUACUGAGUUUGGAGAAGAUCGUUAUUGAAGACCUAGACCUUCUGGACAAGAUGCGCACAGAUCACAAGUUCCUAUUCCACACAGUAGGUGGGCGAGAGCAGGGACUAUCUCCUGGUCGUUUUCAGCAGGAUCUGUUCACAGAUGGCAUGUGACGUGUCAGAGAAGGGAAGGUGCCCAGGGGACUCUAAGACUGUGAGCCUGAGCAGCGGGAAGAAUGGAGCACCACUGAGGCUCCAGGAAGGAUACAGCUGAGGGAUGACCCAAGGGCUGGGACACCAAUGGCUCCUGGGAGCAAAGAUUAAAAAUUGGAGUGUAUUUAUUGGUAAAUAUGCCUACUUGUUGGUGGGCCUUGGCCCGAAUCUGGCUGGUAGAUAUGUUUGGGGUUUGGUUCUUACAGUAUUUGUUAAAUUGCUGAAUUAGUUGCAGAUGUUUAAAACUCACGGUAUUUUAUAUAAAAAUCUGUAUU